CCUCGGUGGACGAACCGAAUGUUCCGGUUGCUUCCCUUCUCACAGGCGGUUCGCUGUGCGCCGUCCGCCCGGCUCGGAUCGGCCGGAGUCCCGUCCCGAUGAAUCGAUCCGUCGUCUCCACCUCGCUCUCUGCCCGGUUCUUCAGUUGAUCCGAAGCGAUUGAUGAGUAUUACGUCGCGGAAUCGACUGUUUUAGAAUCGAGUCUCCUCUUCGACCUUGACUCGCUGGGAUGGAGAGGUGGAGGGGUUUAGGCGAUUCAUAGAACCGAUCGGCGGAGCAGUUCCAGUUUUUGAUUCUUCCCUCCAGAUGCUACAGCGAAUUGUAUGUAUAACCGGAUCAAUUAGGGCACGGGGUCACAGUUUCUUCAUCAUCAUAGUGUUCGAAAUGUGGACAGACAAGGAGACAGGAAAGGUUCAAUUUCUUGGACGCUUGGAGACCGGCAGCCAUCUCUCGGAAAGAUUCCUCCUCGUCUGAGUGCUCUCUUCUUAAAAGGCUGAUCUACUCUAACUGUAUGUUUUGUGCAACUAGUAAUGGAGAAUAUAAAUCCUACUUUCUGAGUUUUGCUUCUGUUGAAAAUAAAAAUACAUGGAUUUUUUCACGAUA